rnacentral:rRNA from 1 species
AUUGAACGCUGGCGGCAUGCCUAACACAUGCAAGUCGAACGGUAACAGGGCCCUUCGGGGCGCUGACGAGUGGCGGACGGGUGAGUAAUGCUUAGGAAUCUGCCUAGUAGUGGGGGAUAACCCGGGGAAACUCGGGCUAAUACCGCAUACGUCCUACGGGAGAAAGCGGGGGACCUUCGGGCCUCGCGCUAUUAGAUGAGCCUAAGUCCGAUUAGCUAGUUGGUAGGGUAACGGCCUACCAAGGCGACGACGGUAGCUGGUCUGAGAGGACGACCAGCCACACUGGGACUGAGACACGGCCCAGACUCCUACGGGAGGCAGCAGUGGGGAAGUAUUGGACAAUGGGCGCAAGCCUGAUCCAGCGAUGCCGCGUGUGUGAAGAAGG